rnacentral:rRNA from 1 species
CCCAACUAUCCCUAUUAAUCAUUACGGUGAUCCUAGAAACCAACAAAAUAGAACCCUGCCGUCCUAUUUUAUUAUUCCAUGCUAAUAUAUUAAAGCACUAGCCCGCUUUAACCCCUCUAAUUUUUUCAAGGUAAUAGAUCCGCUUCCCCAACCCCCUAAAUUAAUAGCAUGCUGGCCCUUCAGAAGGAAAGAAACCAUCAAAUCAGUACGGACAGUGGAGCCCGACCAACUGACCCAUCCCGAAUUUCAAC